CAUCAUGUUUCACACAUUGAA
rnacentral:siRNA from 1 species